UCCUACGGGAGGCAGCAGUGGGGAAUAUUGGACAAUGGGCGAAAGCCUGAUCCAGCCAUGCCGCGUGUGUGAAGAAGGCCUUUUGGUUGUAAAGCACUUUAAGCGAGGAGGAGGCUACUUAGAUUAAUACUCUAGGAUAGUGGACGUUACUCGCAGAAUAAGCACCGGCUAACUCUGUGCCAGCAGCCGCGGUAAUACAGAGGGUGCGAGCGUUAAUCGGAUUUACUGGGCGUAAAGCGUGCGUAGGCGGCUUCUUAAGUUGGAUGUGAAAUCCCUGAGCUUAACUUAGGAAUUGCAUUCGAUACUGGGAAGCUAGAGUAUGGGAGAGGAUGGUAGAAUUCCAGGUGUAGCGGUGAAAUGCGUAGAGAUCUGGAGGAAUACCGAUGGCGAAGGCAGCCAUCUGGCCUAAUACUGACGCUGAGGUACGAAAGCAUGGGGAGCAAACAGGAUUAGAUACCCUGGUAGUCCAUGCCGUAAACGAUGUCUACUAGCCGUUGGGGCCUUUGAGGCUUUAGUGGCGCAGCUAACGCGAUAAGUAGACCGCCUGGGGAGUACGGUCGCAAGACUAAAACUCAAAUGAAUUGACGGGGGCCCGCACAAGCGGUGGAGCAUGUGGUUUAAUUCGAUGCAACGCGAAGAACCUUACCUGGUCUUGACAUAGUAAGAACUUUCCAGAGAUGGAUUGGUGCCUUCGGGAACUUACAUACAGGUGCUGCAUGGCUGUCGUCAGCUCGUGUCGUGAGAUGUUGGGUUAAGUCCCGCAACGAGCGCAACCCUUUUCCUUAUUUGCCAGCGGGUUAAGCCGGGAACUUUAAGGAUACUGCCAGUGACAAACUGGAGGAAGGCGGGGACGACGUCAAGUCAUCAUGGCCCUUACGACCAGGGCUACACACGUGCUACAAUGGUCGGUACAAAGGGUUGCUACCUAGCGAUAGGAUGCUAAUCUCAAAAAGCCGAUCGUAGUCCGGAUUGGAGUCUGCAACUCGACUCCAUGAAGUCGGAAUCGCUAGUAAUCGCGGAUCAGAAUGCCGCGGUGAAUACGUUCCCGGGCCUUGUACACACCGCCAU
rnacentral:rRNA from 1 species